rnacentral:ncRNA from 1 species
UAAGAUAGAGGCGCGAUUUUCACAAGUAGCUCCUGGGAAAGGCGAAAAGCCGGGCUUUGCUCCGGCGGCGCUUUCCGCGACGGCGGGCACCGGCGGAGGGAAAAGGGAAAUUGCCGAAGCCGUAUGGUUUGCCCGGAUCAUGCCGCUGGGGUAUUGCAGCAUAUGCAAUGCACUGUCACUUUGGUGAAGCGCUAUC